UUUUUAUUUAUCCUUCAUUUCUUUCAGAUCUCUAUGUGCAUGCGAAUAUCUUCAGCCGACUUGCGAAAUGUCCAAACAGCUCCAACUGCUACCUAAGAUGAUAACACGCGGACGAUAAAGGAACGAAGGGUAUGUCUGCUUCACUACGAUUGACAAAACUUGCACAUCUACUUUCAAGCUGGUGAAAGCACGACUUCAAGAUGUAAGCUAAGAAAGAAGAUGGUAAUUUCCGGCCACAAGUGUCAAAAUCUUAAAAUUAGGGUCGAAGAGAAAUAUACGUCUCCUUGCGAUAAACCAGAAUACAGCACGGCAUUUUGCUUCAUAUACGUGUUAUUCAAAAGACAACAACAGUUUAAAGCCAAAGGAACCCAAUCUAACAAAUUGUGUCAGUCGUUGGACAUUCUACAUCAUGAUCUGUUAUAUCGUUUGGAAAUUCUCAUCUUUGCUGAUGAAAUACCUUCUGUCAUUUAAUGGAUAUUUAACUAGAACAGAACGGAA
rnacentral:lncRNA from 1 species